rnacentral:rRNA from 1 species
AACAGGAUUAGAUACCCUGGUAGUCCACGCCGUAAACGAUGUCGACUUGGAGGUUGUGCCCUUGAGGCGUGGCUUCCGGAGCUAACGCGUUAAGUCGACCGCCUGGGGAGUACGGCCGCAAGGUUAAAACUCAAAUGAAUUGACGGGGGCCCGCACAAGCGGUGGAGCAUGUGGUUUAAUUCGAUGCAACGCGAAGAACCUUACCUACUCUUGACAUCCAGAGAACUUUCCAGAGAUGGAUUGGUGCCUUCGGGAACUCUGAGACAGGUGCUGCAUGGCUGUCGUCAGCUCGUGUUGUGAAAUGUUGGGUUAAGUCCCGCAACGAGCGCAACCCUUAUCCUUUGUUGCCAGCGAUUCGGUCGGGAACUCAAAGGAGACUGCCAGUGAUAAACUGGAGGAAGGUGGGGAUGACGUCAAGUCAUCAUGGCCCUUACGAGUAGGGCUACACACGUGCUACAAUGGCAUAUACAAAGAGAAGCGACCUCGCGAGAGCAAGCGGACCUCAUAAAGUAUGUCGUAGUCCGGAUUGGAGUCUGCAACUCGACUCCAUGAAGUCGGAAUCGCUAGUAAUCGUGGAUCAGAAUGCCACGGUGAAUACGUUCCCGGGCCUUGUACACACCGCCCGUCACACCAUGGGAGUGGGUUGCAAAAGAAGUAGGUAGCUUAACCUUCGGGAGGGCGCUUACCACUUUGUGAUUCAUGACUGGGGUGAAGUCGUAACAAGGUAACC